ACCACAAGGAAAGGGCUCCCAGACCACAGACUUCUCAGGCAGGAAUGGGAGAAGGGACACUUUUAACCCUUUGGGUGAUGGAGCUGAGGCAGGAUUUGGGCAAGGGAAGGAAAGGAGGCAAAGCCACUCGGAUUUCCUGCAUAAUUACUGGGAAAUUUGGAAAAACCACUGAGUUUUCCUGGAUUUCAAACCCACCCAAGUUUUCCUGGGUACAUCUUUAUGUGAGAUAGCCCCUCAUCCCCAGCCCCUGCCAAAGAAACAUCAUGGCUCACGCACAAAGCAAAAUUCUUUGUUUGAAAGGCUGAUAAGGAGAGGAAGGAAUGGAGCCAAGAGCAAGAAGCAAUUCCCAGCCGCAGAACAGGGUUUGGUCGUUGUUCAUAAAAAAGAGAAGUGAACUCUGGG